UUUAGGUGUUAAUGAGGGACUUAAACAGGUGAAUUAUGACAUUCUGGCAUAACUGCAUUUUUCUUAAUGUAAAUGCUCAUGAUGGCCCACCAUCAUGGAAAUAUCAUGGAGCGGCCUGUGGUUGGUUAGUAAACUGUGGUCCUCCGAAACCUGACACAGCAUCGCCUGUAAGCUGAUUUAAAGGUAUUGUGUCGGAACUCUCUGGUUUUAGUGAGUCGACACCCCUGCAGAGUGUGACUGUGGAGCAUCAUCUCAUACAUGACAGCACACCCCGCCCACGCACUCCCUCACACACACACUAACACACACACACUGUCCGGGGUCGCCGCCAGGCAGAGGCAGGAGGAAGAGUAUUGGGAAAAACCUACUGUGUACCGCCAGGCGGAGAAGAUCGAGAGGACAAGUCACAUGCUAUGACUCGCUCUGUCACUAUCAAGCUCUCCAACAUGAAGAACGAGCCGCUCCAAUCAAAACUUUCAAAAUAAAAUUGUGCCUCACGUCAUUAAAGCGCUCAUCGUGGUGGGUUUCAUGGCACGUAAUGAGGAUAAAUGUAAAAGACGGUUUAGGUUUACAAUAAAAAAUAAAAAUAAAUAAAAAAAAUCAAAUGAAAAAAUAAAUAGUUUGUUAUAAAUCGUAAGCGCUGUUUAUCAAUCUGUGUUGACCUUAAUGAAAGUGUAGCUGAGUGGCAGUGAAGAGCUGCUUGUCAAGUGAACAAAGUGCUUUUAAUGGGUUUAUUAAAGGCAAGUUUAACUGGGAUGACUGGUAAUUUAUCAACUGUCAUUUCUUUUUCUUUAUGGAAAACUAUACUGUGAGAAAGAGCUAACCUUAAACGAUGGAGAUCUGUAUCCAGCACGGAUUCCUAUCAAAAUUUGCAGUUCGCCUUUUUUACGCGUCAUUUGUCAGUUUUCAGACGAUUUGAUGCACAACUUCCGGGACCGGGUCGUCUUAUUUUGAAGGUAAAAUCCGUGCGCGUCCGGGCUGGCUCUCUGCGUCUGGCUUAACGCAGCUCUCCCUCUCCCCGGUGCGCCUCAACUCCAGUACCUGACACCGCACAGCGCGUCCACAGGCUGAGGGGACGCAGGCGCACAGGGGGGACAGCUGGUUCCUUUU
ensembl:lncRNA